UAGGGAAUCUUCCGCAAUGGGCGAAAGCCUGACGGAGCAACGCCGCGUGAGUGAUGAAGGUCUUCGGAUCGUAAAACUCUGUUAUUAGGGAAGAACAAAUGUGUAAGUAACUAUGCACGUCUUGACGGUACCUAAUCAGAAAGCCACGGCUAACUACGUGCCAGCAGCCGCGGUAAUACGUAGGUGGCAAGCGUUAUCCGGAAUUAUUGGGCGUAAAGCGCGCGUAGGCGGUUUUUUAAGUCUGAUGUGAAAGCCCACGGCUCAACCGUGGAGGGUCAUUGGAAACUUGAAAACUUGAGUGCAGAAGAGGAAAGGGGAAUUCCAUGUGUAGCGGUGAAAUGCGCAGAGAUAUGGAGGAACACCAGUGGCGAAGGCGACUUUCUGGUCUGUAACUGACGCUGAUGUGCGAAAGCGGGGGGAUCAAACAGG
rnacentral:rRNA from 1 species